UCGAUUUCAUUUGAGGUUGGCACAUCUUUUAGAGGAACUUAUCGUAGAUGCCAUGUUCUUAAUGCUUGGCGUUUGUUCUUUAUUAAUUUUGGUGGAUGGAAUAGAUGUAAACUGCAAAAAACCACCCAACAAUGAUUGCAGGUUUAAGAAAGUAAAAUGGUUUAAUCAAAAAGGUGUAUGUGUACAGAGAUUUACUUGUCGACACGGUUUUGAUUAUCGCACGGAUUGCGAACUCCUUUGUUAUGUUCCUCCUAAAAAGGAAAACACUUCCAUGGACCUGCUUCAAAGUUUGCUAGAAUUAUUACAGACGAUACAACAACCGAAAACUACUAAAAGACUUAAGACUGCCAAGCCUACUAGAAAAACCCGAAAAAGCUUGAAGCCAUCAGUUUUUAAUACAACUAAAUCUGUUUCUGCAAUUACUUGGACUUUUUUUCCAAAUUCAAGUUUAACCGUGAUACCACCUUUUAUCAGCAAGCCACAACUUACUACAAAAAGUAUACACGAAAUAAAUUCAACGGCCGAGAUGCUACUUCCAGAAACAUAUACACUUGAACAACAACGUACCACUAUUGGUAUACAGGAACUAAAUUCAACAGCCAAAAUGAUAAUUCCAGAACCACAUCUUAGCACAGCUAGUAUGAAGGAACUAAAUUCAACAGCCACGACGACACUUCCAGAACCAAGUACACUCGAACCAAACCAGAAACGGAGAACCCGCUUUAAAGGAAUUUUUGGCUGAGUUAGUAGAAGCUGAAAUGUAAGAGAAUGUGACAAUGCACAUAAAUCUACGCUAAGUUGUUAACAUAUAAUGUAACUAACUUCCCUUCCAACAAUUUUUUAUUUAAAAACCAUUUUUUUCUUUGGCCUGCCUUAAAGUAUAAAAAUUUAAAUAAAUAUUUGCAAAGACA